rnacentral:rRNA from 1 species
UACGAGGGGGGGCUAGCGUUGCUCGGAAUCACUGGGCGUAAAGCGCACGUAGGCGGCUUUUUAAGUCAGGGGUGAAAUCCUGGAGCUCAACUCCAGAACUGCCUUUGAUACUGAGAAGCUUGAGUCCGGGAGAGGUGAGUGGAACUGCGAGUGUAGAGGUGAAAUUCGUAGAUAUUCGCAAGAACACCAGUGGCGAAGGCGGCUCACUGGCCCGGUACUGACGCUGAGGUGCGAAAGCGUGGGGAGCAAACAGG